rnacentral:rRNA from 1 species
AACGAACGCUGGCGGCAGGCCUAACACAUGCAAGUCGAACGCCGUAGCAAUACGGAGUGGCAGACGGGUGCGUAACACGUGGGAACAUACCCUUUGGUUCGGAAUAACUCAGGGAAACUUGAGCUAAUACCGGAUAAGCCCUUACGGGGAAAGAUUUAUCGCCAAAGGAUUGGCCCGCGUCUGAUUAGCUAGUUGGUGAGGUAACGGCUCACCAAGGCGACGAUCAGUAGCUGGUCUGAGAGGAUGAUCAGCCACACUGGGACUGAGACACGGCCCAGACUCCUACGGGAGGCAGCAGUGGGGAAUAUUGGACAAUGGGCGCAAGCCUGAUCCAGCCAUGCCGCGUGAGUGAUGAAGGCCUUAGGGUUGUAAAGCUCUUUUACCCGGGAAGAUAAUGACGGUACCGGGAGAAUAAGCCCCGGCUAACUUCGUGCC